AACGCGAAGAACCUUACCAGGUCUUGACAUCCCCAUGAAACGCCUAGAGAUAGGUGCCCUCUUCGGAGCAUGGGAGACAGGUGGUGCAUGGUUGUCGUCAGCUCGUGUCGUGAGAUGUUGGGUUAAGUCCCGCAACGAGCGCAACCCUUGAUCUUAGUUGCCAGCACUUCGGGUGGGCACUCUAAGAUGACUGCCGGUGACAAACCGGAGGAAGGUGGGGAUGACGUCAAAUCAUCAUGCCCCUUAUGACCUGGGCUACACACGUACUACAAUGGCCGGUACAACGGGAAGCGAAGCCGCGAGGCGGAGCGAAUCCUUAUAAGCCGGUCUCAGUUCGGAUUGCAGGCUGCAACUCGCCUGCAUGAAGUCGGAAUUGCUAGUAAUCGCGGAUCAGCAUGCCGCGGUGAAUACGUUCCCGGGCCUUGUA
rnacentral:rRNA from 1 species